rnacentral:rRNA from 1 species
UGGCGAAUCUCGAAAGCCUAUCUCAGUUCGGAUUGGAGGCUGAAACCCGCCUCCAUGAAGUUGGAUUCGCUAGUAAUCGCGCAUCAGCCAUGGCGCGGUGAAUACGUUCCCGGGCCUUGUACACACCGCCCGUCAAGCCAUGGGAGCUGGGGGUGCCUGAAGUUCGUGACCGCAAGGAUCGACCUAGGGCAAAACCGGUGACUGGGGCUAAGUCGUAACAAGGUAUC